rnacentral:lncRNA from 1 species
GUCAUAACUUAUGACAACAAACUGUUAGAAGAAAGGGAUCAUUGGAGUUCUAUACUAAAGGUGCUAUCUUCUAAUUUGUUUAUCAGAUCCAGGUGUAAAUAAUCUAAUAUUCUUUUUCUUUUUUUUCUUUUUUUGGAACACCUGACAUCCCCGCAAAACAGUUCUCAUUCGCGCUUGAAUAUGAAACGUCCAUGAGUGAACGUCAUGAUUCAGUUCAUCUGGAAGGGAAGACCUGAAGACCUCAGCUGUGUGGGAGCACUUUAAAUUGUGUGAGGACAAGACAAAGGCUGUGUGGCAAAUAUACGAUUUGAAACUGGCCUACCACAACAGCACAUCAAGUUUGAAAAAUCUUCUAUCUUCUACGUAUAUUGUUGGUGUAAAAAAAAAAAAGCUGCUUUUAUCCGCCAUGUUAAUAAGUAGGCUAGCUAAUUUUACACAUGAUAAAAACGUGCACUUAUUUGCUUGGAAAAUACUUGCGAAUACGGAAGUGAUCACAAAAACGUACAGUCCAGCCCUUAUAAUAAUUUGUCGUGUCACUAGAACAGUGUGUACGUUUUAAGAGCAUAUAAGCCCUGCCCGCGUGAAGCACCGCUUCCGGCUCGCGCUGUUCUGUAGAUUAAAAGUUUAUUCAUUCUGAACGUGUCGCGUGUCCAAAUUGCACCAAAAUGUGACCCUGCACUUCCUUUGAUCCGCAGCAAUACACGGACCACGCAUGAAGUCGAUUGGAUGAACUGUUCUUGGCAAACACAGACAAACACACAGAGAUUGCAGCCUUUUAUUCUAGAGAAUAAUAUGUUCAGCCCCCUCCAAAGCUUCGAAUAUUAGGUGUUGAUUACUACCGAAGUUUCGAAGCUUAUAAUCUUUUUAUUUGGACCAGCCCUACUGUAUGCAUGCAGUAAAACAUUUUCAUCAGCUUUACCAUGCAAAAAUCACAAACACAGUCUCUUUUUUAACCUCUUUCAUGCAUCUCUGUUCGGAGUAACAAUGAAGCUCCUCCCUCUCUGCUCUCCACUCUCUCUCUCUCUCUCUCUCUCUCUCUGUGUUUCUCUCUGUUUGGAUCUGUCAGUCUCUGUGCUGGUGUUUGGUGGCAGCGUUUCUCUUCACUGCAGGGGCAGCUUCAUUCUCUCCUCCAGGAUGUCGGGCCUUCUGACCAGCUCUCUUCUGCUCUUCCUCUCCCUGACGCUGUUCCAGAUCCCCACAUCAGAGGCAAAGCCUCUCUCUACCAUGCGUGGAGGAGGUCGCAGCUUUGACAUCCAGGCAGCUGAAAUCCGUCUGCGAAGAGACCUGCGAGAUUCAGUGCCCUACGAGGCACAGAUGAUGUCUUACCCCACUGCUGACUUCAGGAGUCGGAGCAAUGAUCUGUACUACCAACCAGAGGUCUUAAGAGCUCAAGGUCUUGGACAAGCCCUCCAGCGGCUGGUGGAGAACGACCAGAGGCGGGAACAGGAAGCAGUUUAUCUGGCGUCAAUGCUGCGUCUCCUAAACGAGGCACAGAAUAACGGACAAGGCAAACCAGAGGAAGAGGAGGAGGAGGAGGGUGAUUUCCAGGGCCCAUACCCUCCGGACUACGAUGAGACCGAGCAGGCUGUGAGCAUGGCCAAGCCCCAGGCCUCAUGGCAGGGCCUUCUGGAUCCUCAGCUUACUCAGGCUCUGCUCAACCGCUACAAGCAGGAGAGACUGAUGCAGGCUGGACUCGCUCAAAACACCAACAGGAUAUCAGAGAGAGAGCAGGACAAAGACCAAGAGAUGCUCAGGUACCUUGUUGAGAAAAUCCUCUCCAGCUUGGCAUCGGGUGGCAGUCAGGGAGGUCCUUCAAACCAGCGUGCUAAACGGGAUCUGAGCGCUGUGGCCAACAUGGAGCAAUCUGGAGGAUCCGCCCUAAAACGCUCCCGCCGGUCCCUGGACUCCGCCCCUGGCCCCUCCCCCCACGCCGAGGCAUCACUGCUGAGGGUGAAACGGCUCGAUGGUGAUGUGGAUGACGAAGAGGUUGCAGGGCAGAGCAACAGAACACCACACGUCGGCCUACAGAGAAUGAAGCGCAUAGACACUGACCUGCCGUCCCCCAAAAAACACAGCCGCAAGCGCAGAGCCCUGACCUAUGACCCCGCUCUGAUCGCCCAGCAUAUCCUGCAGUACCUGCCAGCUUAA